AGAGCUUUGUUUCUUCAAAUAUCAUUUAAUAGUUCAUGUUUAUUGUCUGUGCUUAUUUUGAUUCAAAGUUCUUUCACCUGUGGAAAUUGAUAAUUACUUGGCUGAAGUCAAGUAAAUCUUCUGAUAUAUCUUAAUACACUUAGGACUAGUAUAGUAGCAUUUGUAUACUUAACACUAAAAUAAAAUCCAGUAAGUUGGAAAGAUACAGAGGAUACCUUACAUCCAUUUAGACAAGCAAAUCUGGUGACCUCGACUAUUGGCAGUUUGUAGGAACUUCAUUGAAUCCCAACAAUUCAGAAUUGAAGCCUCCACGGAAGAAAUCAAAAGCAUUUGGAAAUUGGAAACUUUUUAAGUGAAGAUGGAUAUUGUAUAUAGCUCUCCAAAAUGUCUUUGAAUGCGAAAGAUACAGCAUGCACCAAUUCUCCAAUAUAUUUUCUUUAGAUUCUCCACUACGUUGGUUUCUCCACUCACUCCGUUGUAUGGAUUCUCACACAUCCACCAUGUGUUAAGAAGGUGAAGCUGAUAUAGAAAGUUGCCAACUUUUCCUUGCCUUGAUCGUACUCUCUUGCCAUUUGGAAGCUCAGAAAAGUUCAUGCUAAGUACUUUAGCCAUUCUGUGUCAGCCAUUAUUUGACUAUUAUUGUCAAAGUUACAGGAUUCUUCAAAAAGCAUCUCUCAUUGUUUAACAUUUUAAAUUCCUUUUUGUUGAGUUAUAUACGAAGAGCACAUAUGUUCUGUUCUGUUUGUUCCCAAGAAUGAGAUAAACAUAUCAAAUUCUUAUAUGUGUAAUGUACACAGUACUUAAUCUUUGAUUCACCCAAAAAAAAAAACAAAAAUGUUACUUGGUCUUUGUAUUUAA